rnacentral:rRNA from 1 species
UACGUAGGGACCAAGCGUUGUUCGGAUUUACUGGGCGUAAAGGGCGCGUAGGCGGCUUGACAAGUCACUUGUGAAAUCUCCGGGCUUAACUCGGAACGGCCAAGUGAAACUGUCAUGCUAGAGUGCAGAAGGGGCAAUCGGAAUUCUUGGUGUAGCGGUGAAAUGCGUAGAUAUCGAGAGGAACACCUGCGGCGAAGGCGGGUUGCUGGGCCGACACUGACGCUGAUGCGCGAAAGCCAGGGGAGCGAACGGG